rnacentral:tRNA from 1 species
GAGGGUACAGCUCAGUGGUAGAGUGUGUGCUUAGUAUGCACAGGGUCCUGGGUUCAAUCCCUGGCGCCUCCA